rnacentral:rRNA from 1 species
GUGUCAGCAGCCGCGGUAAUACGGAGGGUGCAAGCGUUAUCCGGAUUCACUGGGUUUAAAGGGUGCGUAGGUGGGUUGCCAAGUCCGUGGUGAAAUCCCCGAGCUUAACUCGGGAACUGCCGUGGAUACUGGUAGCCUUGAAUAUCGUGGAGGUAAGCGGAAUAUGUCAUGUAGCGGUGAAAUGCAUAGAUAUGACAUAGAACACCAAUAGCGAAGGCAGCUUACUACACGAUCAUUGACGCUGAGGCACGAAAGCGUGGGGAGCAAACAGGAUUAGAAACCCCAGUAGUCC